UGGGGAAUAUUGGACAAUGGGGGGAACCCUGAUCCAGCAAUGCCGCGUGUGUGAAGAAGGCCUGAGGGUUGUAAAGCACUUUCAGAGGGGAGGAGGACUAUUAGGUUAAGAGCUAGAUAGUUGGACGUUACCCUCAGAAGCAGCACCGGCUAACUCCGUGCCAGCAGCCGCGGUAAUACGGGGGGUGCAAGCGUUAAUCGGAAUUACUGGGCGUAAAGGGCGCGUAGGCGGUCGAGUAAGUCGGAUGUGAAAUCCCCGGGCUUAACCUGGGAAUUGCAUUCGAUACUGCUUGGCUAGAGUGUGGAAGAGGGAAGCGGAAUUUCCGGUGUAGCGGUGAAAUGCGUAGAUAUCGGAAGGAACACCAGUGGCGAAGGCGGCUUCCUGGUCCAACACUGACGCUGAGGCGCGAAAGCGUGGGGAGCAAACAGGAUUAGAUACCCUAGUAGUCCCUGAGCGGGCUGGCAAGGCGCAU
rnacentral:rRNA from 1 species